AAGUAUAUGCAUAUUUUAUAUGUAGAAACUGCGAACGGCUCAUUAAAACAGUUAUAAUCUACUUGACAUUUUUUCUAUAAGGAUAACUACGGAAAAGCUGUAGCUAAUACUUGCUUUAGCACUCUUGAUUAAGUUCUUGAGUGUGUACUUGUUAAGCCUUUUAAGAAAAAAGUUAUUAACUUAAGGAAUUAUAACAAAGAAGCAACACGUAAAUGGAUUUUCCAUUUUUUAGUGUGUAUCAAUCGAGUUUCUGACCUAUCAGCUUUUGAUGUUAGGGUAUUGGCCUAACAUGGCUAUGACGGGUAACGGGGAAUUAGAGUUCGAUUCCGGAGAGGGAGCCUGAGAAAUAGCUACCACAUCUAAGGAAGGCAGCAGGCGCGUAAAUACCCAAUUCUAAAGAAGAGAGGUAGUGACAAGAAAUAACAAUACAAGGCCAAUCUGGCUUUGUAAUUGGAAUGAUGGGAAUUUAAAACCUUCCCAAAACUCAAUUGGAGGGCAAGUCUGGUGCCAGCAGCCGCGGUAAUUCCAGCUCCAAUAGCGUAUAUUAAAAUUGUUGCAGUUAAAACGCUCGUAGUUGAAUUUCAAAGAAUCGAUAUUUUAAGUAGCACUUUGUAGAUUAAUCCACAUAACUGAUACUACGUAUCGACUUUGUGCGCAUUUUUCUACUUAUGUGUUCUUUUAAUUAAAAUGAUUCUUUUUAAGAUCUUUCUUUUUUGCUUCGGCAUUUUAGGAGAUCUUGUUACUUUGAGUAAAUUAGAGUGUUCAAAGCAAACAGAUUAUAGCAUCUUUAUGCGUUUGAAUACUACAGCAUGGAAUAACAAAAUUGAACAAGUCAGAAUUUUGUUCUUUUUUCUUAUUUUGGCUUAGUUACGAUUAAUAGGAGUAGCUUGGGGGCAUUUGUAUUCAGAUGUCAGAGGUGAAAUUCUUAGAUUUUCUGGAGACAAACAACUGCGAAAGCAUUUGCCUAAAAUACUUCCAUUAAUCAAGAACGAAAGUUAAGGGAGUGAAGACGAUCAGAUACCGUCGUAAUCUUAACCAUAAACUAUGCCGACUAGGCUUUGGAUGAAAGAUUUUAAAAUAAGAGUUUUUUCUCUGAGGAGUUAAAACUCUUAGAUUGCUUCCUUCAGUGCCUUAUGAGAAAUCAAAGUCUUUGGGUUCUGGGGCGAGUAUUCGCGCAGCGAGAAAAGUUAAAAGAUUGACGGAAGGGCACCACCAGGCGUGGAGCUUGCGGCUUAAUUUGACUCAACACGGGAAAACUCACUAGUUUAAGACAAGAGUAGGAUUGACAGAUUAAUAGCUCUUUCUUGAUUUCUUGGAUGGUGAUGCAUGGCCGUUUUUAGUUCGUGAAUAUGAUUUGUCUGGUUAAUUCCGAUAACGAACGAGAUCUUAACCUGCUAAUUAGCGGCAAAUACGAUAUAUUCUUAUGUGGAAUUGAAUAUAGUUGAUUUGCUUAUUUUGAAGAAAAUAUUGGGAUACGUAAAUGUAUCCCUUUCCCUUUUCUACUUAAUUUGCUUAUCAUACUAUUUCUUUUUUGCGUAAGAAUGUAUUUGCUUGAUUGUAAAGCUUCUUAGAGGAACGAUGUGUGUCUAACACAAG
rnacentral:rRNA from 1 species